rnacentral:rRNA from 1 species
CUACGGGCGGCAGCAGUGGGGAAUACUGCACAAUGGGCGCAAGCCUGAUGCAGCAACGCCGUGUGAGUGAUGAAGGUCUUCGGAUUGUAAAACUCUGUCCUAUGGGAAGAAAAAAAUGACGGUACCAUAGGAGGAAGCCCCGGCUAACUACGUGCCAGCAGCCGCGGUAAUACGUAGGGGGCAAGCGUUAUCCGGAAUCACUGGGCGUAAAGGGUGCGUAGGCGGCCUAUCAAGUCAGAGGUGAAAGGCAUUGGCUCAACCAAUGUAAGCCUUUGAAACUGUUAGGCUUGAGUGCAGGAGAGGUAAGUGGAAUUCCUAGUGUAGAGGUGAAAUUCGUAGAUAUUAGGAGGAACACCAGUGGCGAAGGCGACUUACUGGACUGUAACUGACGCUGAGGCACGAAAGCGUGGGGAGCGAACAGGAUUAGAUACCCCGGUAGUC